AAAAAGUGGAGUCCAGAACCCACUAAAAAAACGGGGCGUCAUCCCGCAAGCCAGACAUGUAGGAAAAAA
rfam:Flavobacterium frigoris strain DSM 15719 genome assembly, contig: Ga0131223_105